ACGCUCGACACCUACGGGAGGCAGCAGUGGGGAAUAUUGCACAAUGGGGGAAACCCGUGAUGCAGCGACGCCGCGUGAGCGAAGAAGUAUUUCGGUAUGUAAAGCUCUAUCAGCAGGGAAGAUCAUGACGGUACCUGACUAAGAAGCUCCGGCUAAAUACGUGCCAGCAGCCGCGGUAAUCUGAGGCGGGCUGGACAAGGC
rnacentral:rRNA from 1 species